rnacentral:rRNA from 1 species
AUUGAACGCUGGCGGCAGGCCUAACACAUGCAAGUCGAGCGGAGCGGCGGACGGGUGAGUAAUGCCUAGGAAUCUGCCUGGUAGUGGGGGAUCACGUCCGGAAACGGGCGCUAAUACCGCAUACUAUCAGAUGAGCCUAGGUCGGAUUAGCUAGUUGGUGGGGUAAAGGCCUACCAAGGCGACGAUCCGUAACUGGUCUGAGAUGAUGAUCAGUCAACAUGGAACUGAGCCAGGGUCCAGAUGCCUACGGGAGGCAGCAGUGGGGAAGAUUGGACAAUGGGCGAGAGCCUGAUCCAGCCAUGCCGCGUGUGUGAAGAAGGUCUUCGGAUUGUAAAGCACGUUAAGUUGGGAGGCGUUACCAACAGAAUAAGCACCGGCUAACUUCGUGCCAGCAGCCGCGGUAAUUC